CCCGAUGAUGACUACUCCCGCCACUGAGGUGUGAUGACAAGUCGCCAAUCUGAGGG
rnacentral:snoRNA from 1 species